CGAUCGGCGCACGGGUGAGUAACACGUAUCCAACCUGCCGAUGACUCGGGGAUAGCCUUUCGAAAGAAAGAUUAAUACCCGAUGGCAUAGUUCUUCCGCAUGGUAGAACUAUUAAAGGAUUUCGGUCAUCGAUGGGGAUGCGUUCCAUUAGGUUGUUGGCGGGGUAACGGCCCACCAAGCCUUCGAUGGAUAGGGGUUCUGAGAGGAAGGUCCCCCACAUUGGAACUGAGACACGGUCCAA
rnacentral:rRNA from 1 species